rnacentral:lncRNA from 1 species
GGAAGUCCAGAGGUGUGGGGACGAUGAAGGCUCUGCCUGUAACAGUGAUUCGUUGAGCAGAACAAUGAACUUUAUUUCCAACUUUUCUUGACAGUUUAUUUUCUUAUGCCAGUCUCUUGUGCUUUUCAGAAAAACAUUAUUGGCAUCAGUAAAACCAUAUGCUCAAAAAUGAAAGCCAGAAGCGGUACAGAGAGUCACUUUCCAGCAACGACGAGAGAAGAGUUUCUUCUUGCCACCGUGCACACUUGUCUCUUCCUGGCCCCAAAAGGCCUCUCUGUUUUCAGGGAGUCUGCAGGCAGAAACCCACAGAGUGAGCCAAACAUGCAGUUGGUAUCGGAGAAGUCAGGAGAUCUGACGUCUUGAAGAGUCCAAAGAAGUUUCGAGUGAUUUCUUCUCAGGCUUUUGUUUUGUCUCUUUAGCAAUCCUGUUUAGAACAGGAAAGCUCACCAUGGGGCAGGGCUACAAAGCCUGUGGAUCACUUUAGUUUUGCAACAUUUAUCAGAUAAAUCAAAAUGGAAGUGAGACAAAUUGUAAAGAGUAAGAGACGGAAUAAAGCACAGUCUGCCAAGGACUCGGAUGGCACAUUUCAUGGCUCCCUUAUCCCAUUUUCUUCAAACUUACAUUCAUUUUCAAAGCAAGUGAGUGAAGUGGGUGGUCCAGAUAGAGUCCGGGAAGUCACUGGAGUUUUGCUGAGUCACCACCGUGUCAGAACUUGAAGCACUUCUACUUCUACUUCUUUUAAUUCACUCCCUAGGCUUGCUGUUAAGCCUCCUCCCCAUCCUCACUGUGCCAAGAACUGUGCAGAUGAUUUCAUGCAUGAAAAAACAAAAGAACCUCUAAAAUUUACCAAAAUGAAUGGAAAACAAGAACUACUUUUAAUGAUAAUCUAAUAAAGAACAUGGGAGAAAGGGUAUAGAAUAUUUCUCAUUUGCAAAAUGGGCAUAAAAUUGUGUUCCAUAAAAUACUCUUUUAU